rnacentral:misc_RNA from 1 species
UCUCCGUUGGUGAACCAGCGGAGGGAUCAUUACAGGAUCGAAAGACUCCUAUAACCCCUGUGAACUCACUACAAAUACGUUGCUUCGGCGGGUGCCCCGGGUCUCCCGGGGCGUUCAGCCCGCCGGCAGCCUUCAAAUUCUGUUUCUUUGCGUUGGCAUCUCGAGUAUACAAAAAUAAGUUAAAACUUUCAACAACGGAUCUCUUGGUUCUG